rnacentral:rRNA from 1 species
UUAAAACAAGCUUUUAAGAGCAGAUGGCGGAUGCCUUGCCAAAGAGAGGCGAUGAAGGACGUACUAGACUGCGAUAAGCUAUGCGGAGCUGUCAAGGAGCUUUGAUGCGUAGAUGUCCGAAUGGGGCAACCCAACUAAUAGAGAUAUUAGUUACUCUAAUUUAGAGAGCGAACCUAGUGAAGUGAAACAUCUCAGUAACUAGAGGAAAAGAAAUCAACGAGAUUCCCUAAGUAGUGGCGAGCGAACGGGGAAAAGGGCAAACCGAGUGCUUGCAUUCGGGGUUGAGGACUGCAACAUCCAAGAGAACGCUUUAGCAGAGUUACCUGGAAAGGUAAGCCAUAGAAAGUGAUAGCCUUGUAUGCGACAAGGCGUUCUUAGGUAGCAGUAUCCAGAGUAGGCCAGGACACGAGGAAUCCAGGUUGAAGCCGGGGAGACCACUCUCCAACCCUAAAUACUACUCUUUGAGCGAUAGCGAACAAGUACCGUGAGGGAAAGGUGAAAAGAACCGCAGUGAGCGGAGUGAAAUAGAACCUGAAACCAUCUGCUUACAAUCAUUCAGAGCCCUAUGAUUUAUCAGGGUGAUGGACUGCCUUUUGCAUAAUGAUCCUGCGAGUUGUGGUAUCUGGCAAGGUUAAGCGGAUGCGAAGCCGUAGCGAAAGCGAGUCUUAAUAGGGCGAUUUAAGUCAGAUGCUGCAGACCCGAAGCUAAGUGAUCUAUCCAUGGCCAAGUUGAAACGCGUGUAAUAGCGCGUGGAGGACUGAACUCGUACCCAUUGAAACGGGUUGGGAUGAGCUGUGGAUAGGGGUGAAAGGCCAAACAAACUUAGUGAUAGCUGGUUCUCUUCGAAAUAUAUUUAGGUAUAGCCUCAAGUGAUAAUAAAAGGGGGUAGAGCUCUGAUUGGGCUAGGGCUGCUCGCCGCGGUACCAAACCCUAUCAAACUUCAAAUACCUUUUAUCGUAUCUUGGGAGUCAGGCGGUGGGUGAUAAAAUCAAUCGUCAAAAGGGGAACAACCCAGACUACCAAAUAAGGUCCCUAAGUUCUAUUCUGAGUGGAAAAAGAUGUGUGGCUACUCAAACAACCAGGAGGUUGGCUUAGAAGCAGCCAUCCUUUAAAGAAAGCGUAACAGCUCACUGGUCUAGUGGUCAUGCGCUGAAAAUAUAACGGGGCUAAGAUAGACACCGAAUUUGUAGAUUGUGUUAAACACAGUGGUAGAAGAGCGUUCAUACCAGCGUUGAAGGUAUACCGGUAAGGAGUGCUGGAGCGGUAUGAAGUGAGCAUGCAGGAAUGAGUAACGAUAAGAUAUAUGAGAAUUGUAUCCGCCGUAAAUCUAAGGUUUCCUACGCGAUGGUCGUCAUCGUAGGGUUAGUCGGGUCCUAAGCCGAGUCCGAAAGGGGUAGGUGAUGGCAAAUUGGUUAAUAUUCCAAUACCGACUUAUGGAGCGUGAUGGGGGGACGCAUAGGGUUAAGCGAGCUAGCUGAUGGAAGCGCUAGUCUAAGGGCGUAGAUUGGAGGGAAGGCAAAUCCACCUCUGUAUUUGAAACCCAAACAGGCUCUUUGAGUCCUUUCAGGACAAAGGGAGAAUCGCUGAUACCGUCGUGCCAAGAAAAGCCUCUAAGCAUAUCCAUAGUCGUCCGUACCGCAAACCGACACAGGUAGAUGAGAUGAGUAUUCUAAGGCGCGUGAAAGAACUCUGGUUAAGGAACUCUGCAAACUAGCACCGUAAGUUCGCGAUAAGGUGUGCCGCAGCAAUGCGGUCUCAGCAAAGAGUCCCUCCCGACUGUUUACCAAAAACACAGCACUUUGCCAACUCGUAAGAGGAAGUAUAAGGUGUGACGCCUGCCCGGUGCUCGAAGGUUAAGAGGAUGCGUCAGUCGCAAGAUGAAGCGUUGAAUUGAAGCCCGAGUAAACGGCGG